AGAACGAACGCUGGCGGCAUGCCUAACACAUGCAAGUCGAACGCUUUUGGGGCUUCGGUCCCAAAGGAGUGGCGCACGGGUGAGUAGCGCGUGGGAACCUGCCCUGUUGUGGGGGAUAACCGAGGGAAACUUCGGCUAAUACCGCAUACGCCCGGGGGAAACUCCGGGGAAAGAUUCAUCGCAGCAGGAGGGGCCCGCGUCGGAUUAGGUAGUUGGUGGGGUAACGGCCCACCAAGCCUGUGAUCCGUAGCUGGUCUGAGAGGAUGAUCAGCCACACUGGGACUGAGACACGGCCCAGACUCCUACGGGAGGCAGCAGUGGGGAAUAUUGGACAAUGGGCGCAAGCCUGAUCCAGCAAUGCCGCGUGAGUGAUGAAGGCCUUCGGGUUGUAAAGCUCUUUCGCACGCGACGAUGAUGACGGUAGCGUGAGAAGAAGCCCCGGCUAACUUCGUGCCAGCAGCCGC
rnacentral:rRNA from 1 species